UCUCUCGCAGCGUCCACGCCAUCGAGCGCCGAGCCCUGCCUGAGUUCUUCAACGGCAAGAACAAAUCCAAAACCCCCGAGAUCUACCUGGCGUACCGCAACUUCAUGAUCGAUACGUACCGCCUGAACCCCCAGGAGUACCUCACCUCCACCGCCUGCCGCCGCAACCUGGCUGGCGACGUCUGUGCCAUCAUGAGGGUGCACGCCUUCCUGGAGCAGUGGGGCCUCAUCAACUACCAGGUGGACGCC